GGUGUCUUCGUGGGGUGCUCGGUAUCCGAGGCUGAGAGCUCUGCGAGAGCAGUCUCACCUGCAUGGACUGGUUUCCAGGCGAGUGAGCUCUGGUAGUGGGACGGCUUGUACUGAGUCGUGGUAUGUUCCGUGCCUUCCUUCGUCUCUUCAUUAUGAUCAGCCUCUCGGCGCCACUAAGUGGUGCAGGUUGUGGUGCUUUUGUCGCCGCCAGCUUUUGUACUGGGUCUACGAUUGCUGGCCCUUGUGGCUGUUCGGCGAGUUUCUCCCAGAAUUGCGUCCAAAAGCAAUCAAAUGCCCUUGUUAUGUUGUCCUUGUGGGGGGCCCAUGGGUCUGGGUUUCGUGCGGCGGCCAUCUUUGCAGCUAGAAUGCCGGUUUGUGGAUUCAGUCGCUUGGUGCUAUUUUGCACUUGUUCGUGUCCUGUUGCUUUGUGGGGACCGGGAUAACCCCCACCGGCUCAUAGGGGGGAAGUGUGGUCAGGACCGUCGUCGAUUUGUAGGCGAGGCGGGAGAUCGGCUCCGUCCUCCGCCUCAGUGUAGUCAGCAGGCCGCAAUGACUGUCAGGGCUCAUAAAGCUCUUAGCAGGGUGGUAGAAAUUGGUGCCCGGUCUCUCCAGUGCCUUCAGGGAUCUGGUUCAUCCGGUACUUUAUAGCAGGUAUCAAAUUUUGGGCCAAUUUCUCUGUAUUUGCAGAGGAGCUCAACAUGCGUCCUGCUCGCUCAGUAGUCAGACCGCGCCCCCACAAAUCUAUG